UGCGCCCCUGCCUCUUCCCUCCACCCACUUCCUCUGUCUUCUCCCUCAAACGAUGAAACGAUGGUUUCUUCCUUUCGGUCUGCCUUCUUCUUCUUCGCGAUGUCUCUCUGCUUCUUUCUCUACUCACUGUCCUCUGCCUUCUUCAACAACGACUCCAUUUCGUUUUUCUGCUCAAUUUUCUCAAACCUUUUUAGGGUUUUGGUCAAAAGAGGAUGACCUUUAAUGGAGCCUCCAGUUGGGAACAAGUUCCGUAUCGGUCGGAAAAUCUGUGGCAGAUUCUUUGGAGAGAUCUAUCUCGUAAUAAUCAAGAGGGGAAGCUGCGGUUGCAAAAGGGAAGAGAAGGGCGGUGGAGGAACCAGUGGACAAGGCCACUCUUCAGAAGCAGAGACACAUGAUCAAGAGUCUGCUGCUAGUUACAGGGAACGUAAACAGGAUCUUGGUAAUUCGGGAGGUGGGAAGUCUAGCUGCAAUUUGAUUUCAAACAGUUAUAAGGUGAUGCAUGAAGUUCAACAACCUGGUACCAGAAAAACUCCGCAAGAUAGAAGUGAUUUUUUCUCAAGUACAAAUGCUAGUGCUCUCUACAAGCCUUUUGCAGCUUCAUCUACAGGGAUGAAGAGACUGUCUCCAUAUGGUAAUUCUGCUGUUGAUGCUUAUCCCAAAAAGAUGAGGGCUGUUAUAAAUAAGGGUGAGUAUGAAAGAUCCAAAGUGGUUCCGACAGCCCAAAAGGUAGAUGUUAUUGCUUACCCACAAAAUAAAAUGGGUGAAAAAUGCAUGUAUGAUUCCAUUAUUAAUGGUACCAACCAAUAUUGUGAAACAUGGACGAAACCUCCCCAUGUCACAACACGUUAUUUUGAAAGAAUUGAGAGCCAGAUUAUUCUUGUAAUGAUCUGAGUUCUGUUGGCAGUUGUAGUGUGAUAGGUAGUUGUAGUGGUGCCUUCAAAUUGCCCAAUAGACUUAACAUGAUAUUGGAUGCCUUUGAAAAUUGGUUAUCCACUUAGCAGUUAUUAGUGUAAAUGAGAUUAGAUGUUAACAUAUGUCAUAGAAUUCAAUUUGAUUCACAGGAAGCUUGGUGGGUUAAGUGGCAGGUAAGGACGAUAGCAACUGAAGGAAUUAUUUCAUCAUAUAAAUGCUAAAGAGUGGUUGUCUGGAGUCAAUGUAGGUGAGUCUCCAUGGAUUCGUGAGGGUAUUGGAGUUCCGUGACACUCUUCUGGCAGCCCUGCAUGAUGACGGAUUUGCUGAUGUUGACUCUGAAAGUAGCAACCUUUUAUUUAUCAAGAAUUUUGAGGACUCUAUUUUGUAUGAGACUAUGAGUGAUACAUGGGCUUAUGUAGCUGUCUAAACAAUUAUUGCUUACCGCCGCUCUAUUUUAUCUUUGCCCAUUGUAGGAUAAUAAAUGAACUUUUGAUAUUUCUAUCAUGGUUGUAGCUGUAUCGUUGUACUUUUAAAAUCAUAAUUUGUUUUUCAUACCCCUCA